rnacentral:rRNA from 1 species
GUGUCAGCAGCCGCGGUAAUACGUAGGGGGCAAGCGUUGUCCGGAUUUACUGGGCGUAAAGAGCACGCAGGCGGUUCGUUAAGUCGGUUGUGAAAUCCCACGGCCCAACUGUGGGGGGUCGACCGAAACUGGCGGACUUGAGGGAGGCAGAGGGAAGCGGAAUUCCCGGAGUAGUGGUGAAAUGCGUAGAUACCGGGAGGAACACCAGUGGCGAAAGCGGCUUCCUGGGCUUUUCCUGACGCUGAGGUGCGAAGGCGUGGGGAGCGAACCGGAUUAGAUACCCUAGUAGUCC